GCAAGAUUAAAACUCAAAGGAAUAGACGGGGACCCGCACAAGCGGUGGAGCAUGUGGUUUAAUUCGAAGAUACGCGAAGAACCUUACCUAGGCUUGAUAUCCAACAAAUUCUGUAGAGAUACGGAAGUGCUAGCUUGCUAGAAUGUUGAGACAGGUGCUGCACGGCUGUCGUCAGCUCGUGUCGUGAGAUGUUGGGUUAAGUCCCGCAACGAGCGCAACCCUCGUCCUUAGUUGCUAACGAUUCGGUCGAGCACUCUAAGGAGACUGCCUUCGUAAGGAGGAGGAAGGUGGGGACGACGUCAAGUCAUCAUGGCCCUUACGCCUAGGGCGACACACGUGCUACAAUGGCAUAUACAAUGAGACGCAAUACCGCGAGGUGGAGCAAAUCUAUAAAAUAUGUCCCAGUUCGGAUUGUUCUCUGCAACUCGAGAGCAUGAAGCCGGAAUCGCUAGUAAUCGCAAAUCAGCCAUGUUGCGGUGAAUACGUUCCCGGGUCUUGUACUCACCGCCCGUCACACCAUGGGAGUUGAUUUCACUCGAAGUGGAAAUACUAAACUAGUUAUCCCCCACAGUGGAAUCAGCGACUGGGGUGAAGUCGUAACAAGGUAACCGUAGGAGAACCUGCGGUUGGAUCACCUCCUUUCU
rnacentral:rRNA from 1 species